CAAGUCUUCUGUCCCAUCUUCUUUCAUGUUUCUUUCUUUUCUCCUUCCUUCUCAUAAGUUGUCUUCCCUUUUUCCUCCCCAUAACUAAACCUAAGGAGAGUUUGGUGGUUUGGCUUAAAAAUCUCAAGGAAAUGUAUAAGUAGAGGAAGUGUGCUGGGGUGGUGGUCGGACGAGGUAACCGGUGAAUGCACAUAGUAUUCGUUAGUUGCAUACCCAAAUUAAUAGUGACGUAGUGUGCCGCUAUUGUGAGAUAAGUAAUCAGUUCUAGUGCUUUGUUUAGCAUCUCGAGGUUGGCUACAACCUAGGUAAUGGCAUCUUUAGACUUCCACUCAGA